CCAACAUUCCAGUCUCGCCCUCUCUGAGGUGGGAAAGACCAGGGUUUGAGACUCUGAAUGAGGUCCAAAUGAACCAUUAACAUAACAUCUGCCCAAAGAAAGUUCCAUUCAAAGGAUAAGGAAGACCAGGCGCAUUAGUCUUCUACCCAGAAUCAAGGGAUGAGAGAAGGAGGACCAGUCCCUCAACCCGCUCUAGUGUCAGCAAGCUGCUGUUGCUCUUGAGAAGUCCUUUGUUACAAAAUCCCGUGGCACGGCUUUCUACAGAGAAUUGCCCCCUUUGAAGAUUUGCCCCAGUGGUCGUCGUGUUAGCUGCUUCGGUGAAGAAAUAAAAAGGCAUGCCUUAGAUCAACUAUUACUUAUGAAAGGACACCUAGACAUGAAUUCGAAAGGUUUACAUUGUCAAACCAGGGAAGGAGGCAGAGAAGGAAGAUUGUAUCCCUACCUCGGAACGCAGGGGCUAAGGAGCAAGCCAGAAACGUAAAGCCCGUGGCAUUUCCUAUGAGAGUCUUCUCUGGAAGCCAAAGCAAUCACAGAAUGACAGGCCAAAGCUGGUGCUGCACACCUCAAGCUCAACGUACAUGGAAACCAAAGAGUGGCUCUUUUCAAUUAGAAACAUAAAAUGACUGAUGUUAACCGACAAAAUUUGGUAAGAGAACCUAACUGAAUGUUGCUCACCUUAUCUGUAGUCAAGGUAUUCAUAACAGACAGGAAACAAAGUUCCUAACACCCAGGAUCACUUAUACACACUUAAGAAACAUGUUUUCCCCUCCGGCAGGAGAGCACUUCUGGUAUUAAACAGCUGUUUUCACCUCCCCCUUAAAAAUGGCUGUGAUUCACCCGAGUUCAAGUUAUCUUCUCAAAACCUGUCAGGAGUUGCUUGAGGCUGAAAAGCAUGCAUGUUGCUUUUUAUGUAAAUAGGAAAGUAGCAGUGUAGCGGAAUGGGUGCCGCAGGUAAGGCUGUCACACGAAAAUGACUUUAAACGGAUGCCGGACACAACUUCUCCUGGUCUUCUGAGACUCUUUUUCUGUUUAACCACCUUGUUCCCCCCUCAGGUGUCCUUGGUGCAACUCUGAACACCCUGAGAAUGCUUUUCAAACCAAAUAUGUUUCCACAAGUGUGGAAUGGAUGCUCUGUGACAUAAAGAGAUGAGCUUGAAAGAAAAGAUGAAAUUUGCACAUGUUCCUUUGCAACCAGGACUUUCUAGUGAAUUGCUUGAUUCAGAAGAUAAUUCUCCCUGUUUGUCAGUGUUUGAAGCAAUGUACUCAAGCAGCGAAUGGGUCUGCUUCUGGCCAUGAUGCCGUCUUUGGGAUGCAACCCUUGUCGAGUGGGGGUCAGAUUGAACUUUGCUUCUCAACUGCCCUUGAUCUUGCUUCAUACUGGUUUGUUCUUCCAGAAAGAGAAGAGGCAUAAGGCUUAGGCAGCCCAGCACAAAUCAAAGGGAAAGAGAAAUAGAUUUUUAUUUUUCUUCAGGUAACUGACUAACUGAAGUGUCUCCAAGGCUUUAGAAUCAUUUAUUCACAUAUUACAUAUUCAUACACACAAGUGUGCACAAUCACAUAUCACCUUGAGACUUCCUAGGCAUAGGAGAUAAAAGAGUAAGCAAGACAAAGCCUCUGCCCUUGGGAAACUUACACAAUAAAGAAACCAAAAAAUCCUGCAUACGUGCAACGCAAUGUUGUGUAGUAAUAAGUACAGUGAGUUAAAAUAAACCUGGAUAAUGGCACUGAGGUGAAGAGGGAGUGUGUACCCACAGGAAACUCAUCUGAGAAGGCAAUAUCAGAACGAAGACUUGUAUAACCUGGGGGAGGCGGUCCUUACAGAUAUCUAGGGGCAGAGCUUUCCAAGAAGAAGGAAUAAUUUGUUAAAAGGCCCUGAGGUGGGCAGCAAGCUCAGUAUUUUUGAUGACCAUGAAGAGCCAGUGUGAUAUUACUGAGAGUGGCGGGAGAUGAGACUGUGUGUACAUGAGAGGGCGGAUCAAACGGAACCUUGAAGACCAUAGUAAGGAGCUGGGUCUUUAUUCUGAUUGAAUAAAUCCACUGGAGGAUUCUGAGCAGAAAAGGGACUUACGUGACCUGACUUACAUUUUAAUCAGAUAAGUCUGGAGCUCUUGACUUGGGAGUGGGCAAGAUUAGAAGCAGAGAAACCAGUUAGGAGUCUAAAUGGGGCUCUUGAACUAGGAAAACAGUGGUGAACAUGGUGAAAGUGAUUAAAUGCUAGACAUAUUUUGAGGUUGGAGAUGACGAUUUUCUGAUAUAUUAAAUGUGAGGUUUGUGGGCUAGAGAGGCAUCAAGGAUA
ensembl:lncRNA